AAAAAAGCCGUGGACGCAAUCCUACCAACUCAGACAUUAGGAGUAGAGAUGGACGAGUUGGUUGAAUAGUACGGUUUAUUUUCGUCCCACCACUUUCAACCGUUUUUUUUCGCUGGUUUUUUUCGUCUCCCCUCCCACCACCCUACCAGUUUAUCUUUUCACCACUAUUUCCUUAUAAACAAACACUUUCCUACCGUACAAAAAGUCAUAAAUCUAACUUUCCUAACUUAGCCUAAUCAACCGAUCCAUCUCAUUAAUGGAAUUUGCUUUAAGAAACAAAUAAUGGAUUUGAAGGAAACAAAUAAAGGACUUUAAGGGAAAAUCCAAUUGACUAAUCGACAAAUAUGUAUAUGAACCUUCCUUCUUCAAAACUCCACUCGGUCCUGAUGGUAGGUAUCGACGUUGUUUCGUUCGUCCUCCCUCAAACAUGUAAAAAAGGAAACUCCUCCCGCAAAACAGCCAUGAUUCACGGACGCGGGAUCAUUCCCCACCAAGAUUCCCAUCCCUCCGCGAAUCUACACGUCGACAUUUUGCCAUUCACAUCCGCGCCAGAUCCCUCACCGCAUUGUCUCCCCCAUCCCUCAUUGCACCAUGGCAGCUCCCUCCAUAGCACCACAUCGGCUUAUAGUCACGUCGCGCUAGGUAUGGGUCCACGGGAGCUAGCGCCCGGAGGCCCCAGGUCCAGUGUUACUCGUUCCCGCCACCGGCCUCGCCACCUACAUCGACGGCGGGAUCCGCAGCCUCCUCCUUCUAUUGGGCGAUACAAGGAUCCGAUGUUGUGUGCUGCUCCAUCUACACGCCUUCUUUCUUAUAGGAAUCGGCUUCGCAGGUUAGUCCUCGAUCUUCCAUGUGGCUUACUGAAUUUGAAGUAGUGAUGGAACUAUGAUCUGAGGCAAAUGUGUGCAGAUAUUCAGUAGCUGAAGUCUCCCGAUUGAUAACAUACACAUCGAGGCCCGGAUACACAAGAGGCAGUACCAAGCAGCUACAACUCUCCGGCGACAGCAACAACAAGAUGAAGUUGUUAAUCCUGCUGAUGCGCGCCGCUGUCGUCGGGAUAUUUGUGAGGGGAAGCACCCUUUUCGAGAGAUUUCAGAGAAGAAGUAUGUUCCCUCGGCUUCUUCUUCGGUUGGUUUAUUUUUGGGCACGCCGCCUCCUGGUCUGAGUGGUGUUUCAGUUGGUGCUCUGCCGCAGGCCUCUGUCCUCACGUGGUACUUCUGUUUCACAUGGCCAUUGCCGGUCUUCCUAAUUCUGCUGUCUCGCCGACAGCUCCUGCGGCCCCUCUCUUUGCUGGUGCAUUGGCUGCUGUGCUAGAUAUUUCGUCUUUGUGCUCUUCUUGCUUGGUGGAUAUUCAUAUGUACAGAUGCUGGCUUCCCAUCUAUUUUGCAAAGGACAAUUUCUUCUAGUUCUAAUGUGCGCACGAGAGGGGGGCGUCAGGGUUCGUUGUCAGCUAGCUGUCUGAAUCUUCGUGCUUCGGAUUGGUCUGAUGAUCUACAGCACGUACGACGGAGGACAACAGAAUUCUACUGAAUUGUGGCGGCGCCGUCAAGAGAUUGAUGAAGGAAAACGUCCUGUGUUGGGUUCUUCAGAUUGUGCCUGAACUAGCGGGAGCCUCUGAAGCAGCGAGAGAGUAACGGAUGGGGAAACUGGCAGAUCCUUUUGUGUGGACGACAACUCGACGGUGGCAACUCGACCAGGUUUGCCGUGAGAAGGCCAGACUAUGCGAGAGAUUUGGCGCGUGUAGUUUAUUUUGUCGCUAAUUACGGUGGAGUGUGGUUAGAUUAUCAGCUUUGUUAGAUGAAUAGGGCAUGGAAGGAGCGGUGGAUAUGAGCUCCUACGGCAUAACUACUAUGCCUUGAGCAACGUCAGAGGAGCCGACUCCCGCUGAGAAUACAUUUUAUUUUCUUUAGCCGAUUAAUUCCAAUAAUUAAUGAGGGCUGAUGCACCCCGGGAGCAGCUGCCAAGAUGGAAGUUUUAGCAAAUAGGACGCCUUCCAUCAAAGGGAAACUACGACCAACUCCGCUCUCGUUGGCUGGCGAUGCAUGACGAGGCCAAUGGACAACUUGGUGCUACACAAAUGAAUCAAGGAGAACAUGCUAACAGACCAGCAACGUGCUAGGAGGCCAACGGGAGCAUUACCUGGUGUUGACCGGCGGGCAAAUGACAUCAUAUAUGUUUUUGUCCAACCAAGGGGUGCCGGUCAACCUACUAGGAGAUGGCAUAUAUGGGCCUUGAGGACAUGGCACCGUUCAGGAGGGCGGCAUUCCGACAACACUCCAGCAUAGACUCAUCGUGAUACAUGGACAUGGGCUGGUAAACAGAGGUAACAGGGAGCCUGAACAUCAGCACAUCAAGAAGGAAGCUGAUGAUGAUGAAUACGACCAUCUUGGCAUGGAUUGCUGCUGCUGCCAUGCCCAUGUCCAGCAACAUGUUGUUGUGCCAGUGCUGCAACCUUCUACUCCAAACACGAUCGCAGGCAAUGUGGUCAUGAACUUUUGGGAUACUUAAUGUUCCCUGUAUUUUUCUAGCAAUGUCUUAGGUAGGACGUAGAUGCAAGGGCUCAUAUAAAUAUCAAUGAAUUGAUAUUAGUUACCAUGAUAAUUUGGUUAUAUAUAUGACCAUAUCCGAAUCAUUUUAGGCUUAUAAUGGCAUUUGUUUUAAUGAUUUAUUUAUAGAGUAUUACAAUGGUGACAAUGGAGGGAUUCUUCUCUUUUUGUAUACCAUGUAUUUUUCAUGUUUAUACCUUCACCGCGGGUCUCUAAAUCUAAACAAAAAAAGGUCAUUUUCAUUUUCUUUACUUUACUAUGUUUCGUAUACUUACAUUAUGUUCUUGUAACUGCAUGAUGGUAGCACUUGUUUUUUCUUUCUAUUUGUUUCCUUUUAUCCAAAAUUUUAACUGAACUAGGUAGGAUGCCACAACCUAUUUAGCCUCUUUUGUGUGAUUGCAUGCUGAUAAACUUAUGAAACAGAUGAUAGAUUAGGUGUGCAUGUAAUGAGAUGGUGUGGUUGAUUGAGAUGAUGCUAGAGUGACGCAGUGUGGCAACGAGAGAAGGAGGUGAGUUGAGAGGUAGGUAAAGAGGGUAUAAGAGGAGAAAUAAAGAAACAAUUGUUUUUUUUCUUUCUAUUAAAGCAUACAUAUCUACAACAAUCUAUUUGGAUUUUUAUUUUACAGUUUAAGCAGUGGAGUGUAUAGAAGCUGAACCAAUUGUCUUAGUGAGCAGUCUACAAAUAACAUGCAAGUUUACAGCAGAUAUAGACUCCUGCUGAUGUCAUCACCCAGUGUUGCACAAUGUUGUUUGUAGCCUAGCCGUUGAACAUGACAUAUCAACUUAGUUCUUCUAUUUUUUAUACUUGGUGAAGAGAUUGUCUAUAGCCUAGCUGUCAGACAUGAUGCAUCCAACCAUUUGCGAGAUAGCUACAGUUCUGAGUGCAGUGUUCUCUUGAAUGUAACUAGGGGUACAAUUUAGCUUGAUUCGGCGAGUUUGAUUCCAGCAAGUCUUCUAUGCAUCUGUGCACUAAAAAAAGUGAACUCUGAUACAUACAGGAUGUGCAAGAUCAUGCAAGCAAAGACUUAUUCCUUUCAUAAAGAUAAAUUGGUUGAAUCUAUGGCUUUAGUAUCUUACGAGGCAGUCAUGUUUCUGAAUAGCAGAUGGCAACUUAAUUUAGGUUACAUAGUAUUAUCUCAUAUUUUUGCUUGCAAUUUUAUUUGAACUUGAUAAAUACAUGACUAUUGUAGUUCUUUGAAAUCAAGCUCAAAUAAUCCUAAGUGAAUGCAAGCUUUAGUUAGUGUUUGGUUUCCAGUCAUCUUAUAUGUCCUUAUUUCUCAUGUUGUACUACGACACAUAGAAUAGAAAGUUCAGUUGUGGCGACAGAUAUUACUUAUAGUACAAGGAAAACACAUGUAAAUGUAAACUGCGUGACUAAAAACGUCAAGAAGCAUAACUCAGUUGUUUAGCUUAAUUAAAAGGUGAUAUCAUUUUUGGGUUUUCUAGCUGGAGAACUUUCCACUUUAUAUGUAUGUUAGUCCAAAUAAUUAUCAAAUUCCCUCAACUACCAGUGGAAAAACAGUUGUCCUGAAAAGUCUUUCUUUCCUACAAAGGCAGCUUAGUGGACUGGAGCCAUAUCAAAGUUAGUAGAAGUACCAACAUGUUUGAGCCAUGCUUUUGUUUUACACCAUCAUCUUUCACAUGUACAUUUGAGCCGACUGAAUUAUAUAUCGCUUUAUCUCCACAAUUCUCCUUUUUAGAAGAGAAUUACUAUAAUUUGUGUAUGUACAGUGUUCGGUCAGCAUGUGGCAGAUUGGUUAAUUGGUUUAGAGAAGGCGGGCAUACAAGUUGUUCGGCAAAACAAAUAUUUGUUGUGUAGACAGUGCAUAUAUUUUACUGAUAUGCAUGGUUGGACAUAGUACCUAUGUUACGUGAGGAGUAACGUAAGAUGAAGUGUAACAUGGUGGACAUGGCUUCAUGACAGAGCUGGUGGAGAGAUGUUAUGGGGUGAUGUUGAGGUCGGCGGCGAAAGAAAUGGGCAAAUGGGGUUCCUGAUAGGUUCCCGACUUUCUCAUGGAGCGAUGCAAUGUGCAGCAACACCGUAUUGGGUUCCAUUUCUAGAUGGAGAAGAAUGGAUGAACGACAUGUGCGCG
rnacentral:rRNA from 1 species